UCGGCCGCCAUUCUCAUCUGUCAAGAUGACUAUUUGCUUUAUUCACGGUUGCAAGAAUAAUAGUAGGAAAUUAAGUGCUAGACAUGUUAAGUUCUUCUGUUUGCCAUCAACUAGUGUUAGAUUUUCAAAAGAACUGAAUGAUCAAAAGUUAAAAAGAAGACUUGCUUGGCUUAAUAAUGCAAAGCAAAAGUGUUCACAUGACUUAAUUAAACCAAGGAUCUGUUCUUACCAUUUUCAUGGAGGUAAACCAUGUGAUGAUGUAUACGAAGAAACUCAUCCAGACUGGGCUCCUACUAUAUUUAAAUUUAUGAGCCACAGUGCAACAAAUGUCUCUCGUUACAACAGAGUUAAAAAGAGACUUGCUGUAAAUGGGAAGGAAUUCAAACCAGUAUAGAAUCGGGUUCCUCAGCUGACUAAGUAAUUUGGCAGAGUUUUCCUGAUCUUCUACAUCAAUGAUCAUCGUUGAAGAUAAUACGUCAGCCAUGUUUAUGUCUGAAAUUGACAAUUCAGUUGCUUCACUGGAAAAAUUCCAUAUUUUUUAAAAUAUUAUAUAAACUGUUAUGAGGUCGAUACAACAAUAGUUCAUUUAUCAGUAUGCUACCUGCAUGAAUAAGUCAUGUUUGAUUCCAGUCUCGAUUGGUUUUUCAUUUACAGCAAGUCUCUUUUUAAAUCUGUUGUAACGAGAGACAUUUGUUGCACUGUGGCUCAUAAAUUUAAAUAUAGUAGGAGCCCAAUCUGGAUGAGU